rnacentral:rRNA from 1 species
UACGAAGGGGGCUAGCGUGGUUCGGAAUUACUGGGCGUAAAGCGCGCGCAGGCGGCUAUCCAAGUCAGUGGGGAAAGCCCGGAGCUCAACUCCGGAACUGCCAUUGAAACUGUUUAGCUUGAGGACGAGAGAGGUGAGUGGAAUUCCCAGUGUAGAGGUGAAAUUCGUAGAUAUUGGGAAGAACACCGGUGGCGAAGGCAGCCCCCUGGGCUGACACUGACGCUCAGGCACGAAAGCGUGGGGAGCAAACAGG